rfam:Nelumbo nucifera unplaced genomic scaffold scaffold00001, whole genome shotgun sequence
GAGAGCCAAAUGAAUCGAAAGUUUCAUGUUUGGCUCAGGAAGAGAUCAUGGAAGUUUUGAAAUGAAUGGGAAGAUAAUCUACCUCCAU